rnacentral:rRNA from 1 species
GUGGGGAAUAUUGGACAAUGGGGGCAACCCUGAUCCAGCAAUACCGCGUGAGUGAAGAAGGCCUUCGGGUUGUAAAGCUCUUUUACCGGGGAAGAUUAUGACGGUACCCGGGGAAUAAGCUCCGGCUAACUUCGUGCCAGCAGCCGCGGUAAUACGAAGGGAGCUAGCGUUGUUCGGAAUUACUGGGCGUAAAGGGCGCGUAGGCGGCUUUGUAAGUCAGAUGUGAAAGCCACGGGCUUAACCUGGGAACUGCAUUUGAUACUGCAAGGCUAGAGAUCGAGAGAGGAAAGUGGAAUUACGAGUGUAGAAGUGAAAUUCGUAGAUAUUCGUAGGAACACCGGUGGCGAAGGCGACUUUCUGGCUCGAACCUGACGCUAAAGCGCGAAAGCGUGGGGAGCAAACAGGAUUAGAAACCCUAGUAGUCC